rnacentral:rRNA from 1 species
GAUGAACGCUGGCGGCGUGCCUAAUACAUGCCAGUCGAGCGAACGGACGAGAAGCUUGCUUCUCUGAUGUUAGCGGCGGACGGGUGAGUAACACGUGGAUAACCUACCUAUAAGACUGGGAUAACUUCGGGAAACCGCAGCUAAUACCGGAUAAUAUUUUGAACCGCAUGGUUCAAAAGUGAAAGACGGUCUUGCUGUCACUUAUAGAUGGAUCCGCGCUGCAUUAGCUAGUUGGUAAGGUAACGGCUUACCAAGGCAACGAUGCAUAGCCGACCUGAGAGGGUGAUCGGCCACACUGGAACUGAGACACGGUCCAGACUCCUACGGGAGGCAGCAGUAGGGAAUCUUCCGCAAUGGGCGAAAGCCUGACGGAGCAACGCCGCGUGAGUGAUGAAGGUCUUCGGAUCGUAAAACUCUGUUAUUAGGGAAGAACAUAUGUGUAAGUAACUGUGCACAUCUUGACGGUACCUAAUCAGAAAGCCACGGCUAACUACGUG